UACGAAGGGGGCUAGCGUUGUUCGGAAUUACUGGGCGUAAAGGGCGCGUAGGCGGUGCUUCAAGUCAGGCGUGAAAUCCCUCGGCUUAACCGGGGAACUGCGUCUGAUACUGGAUGGCUUGAGUUUGGGAGAGGGAUGCGGAAUUCCAGGUGUAGCGGUGAAAUGCGUAGAUAUCUGGAGGAACACCGGUGGCGAAGGCGGCAUCCUGGACCAACACUGACGCUGAGGAGCGAAAGCCAGGGGAGCAAACGGG
rnacentral:rRNA from 1 species